rnacentral:tRNA from 1 species
UCCCGUGUGGCUCAGUUGGUAGAGCAUGGUGUUUGCAAUGCCAGGGUGGGUUCGAUUCCCACGGGGA